UCUUUCUUCCCCAACCAAACUCAUUCCAAUCUCUCUCUACUCUCUCUCUUCGAUGAAGAAUACGAGCAAGCAGUCAGACGAAUGCGAGUAUACUGGAUCUGCGAGCUUGAAGCAUAGCCCAUAUUGAAGUAUCUUCAGCUUCUUUUUUAUGGGUAUGCUCGAGGAUAUACGAAUGCGAGUAUACUGGAUCUGCAAGCUUGAAGCGGUUUUCGAAGUAUCUUCAGAUGGAUCUGAAGUAUAUACGAAUGCGAGUAUACUGGAUCUGCAAGCUUGAAGCGGUUUUCGACAGAGAUAAGCGCCACCCACUGAUUUCGCUGGAGGAUAUCGUCUUGCUUUUUAUGGUAACAAAAAAAGUUGGGAUUUGUCUAAGAGGGAUAUUGCACAGUGGAAGAGCUCACGUACGACUACAGGUUUUCUUCUAUAUGGUGUUUAGAUCUUAUCCAUUAACUAUUAUUGUUUUGUUUAAUGACGAUUUAUAAUAUUUGAUAUUGCAUAUUCUUUUCAACUGAUGAACGACUUCCAUGUUAUUGUGGUUUUCCAAGUUGCCGAGGUGUAGUUAACGACAUUGAUGCUGACGUACAAAUGGCCGAGCUAUGUGCACCACACAGUAAAUUAAAAGACAAAUCUGUUCGUGUUUGAUUGUUUAGAACAGUUUAUACAGAUUAUAUGUUUAAAAGGUCUAAAUUUCACUAACACUUCAACGUCAUACUGUGUUGAUUGUUUGUCAAAUAGAUUUCAAACUAAUUGUUGAUUGGUAGUUGAAGGUUUUCGAAGAAGAUAACAAGUGUGUAGUUGUGACGAGUCUUGAAAUCUAGAUUUGAAUCGAAACUGAAAGCAGUGUAGAUCAGUAUUGUUGUUUGUUUCGUCGAGUUAAAAUUCUGCAUAUCAUAUUCAAAGCUGGUGCUCGUGAGCUUUGAAAGUCAAAUCAUGGCUGGACAAUGAGACCACAUCCGCUCUCUGCCUUUUGCGAAACCAUCCAGGUGCUCGUGAGCUUUGAAAGUGAAAUCAUGGUUGGACAAUGAGACCACAUCCGCUCUCUGCCUUCUGCGAAACCAUCCAGUUGGAGUGUGAACUAGAGUGCUUAAUGGUUGAGUUUGAUUCCAAUCUUCAUAUUGAUGAGAAGCCUCCCAUACUUCUAAGAGACGUCUUCGAAAAAUGAAGCCAUUCUUAAUGGCUUAUGAAAAUAUUCAAACUGAAAAAGUAUGGCAUUUUGGAAUACGUUACUAUUGGUUAAACAGAUCGAUUAAUGACCAAUAUAACUUUGAUGACCGAGGUAAUCGAGAGGGUUUAUUAUACAAUCAACUCACAAUGGUUUAUUCAAAAAAAGAUUACAAGAACAGAGCUGAAAAUGUAGAAAUGGCAAAAUAUAAAUAAUGAGACAGUGGGUUAUAUACCCUAAGAUCAAUUGUUAAUAAGAAAGUGAUGAACACAAGUUGUUACAGUUUGUAAACCUGCAAUAAUAGCUCGUGUGUCUGAACC
rnacentral:lncRNA from 1 species